rnacentral:rRNA from 1 species
AUUGAACGCUGGCGGCAUGCCUAACACAUGCAAGUCGAACGAGUGGCGGACGGGUGAAUAAUGUCGGUGAACCUGCCCGAUGGAGGGGGAUAACUACUGGAAACGGUAGCUAAUACCGCAUAACGUCGGGUGUGCCCAGAUGGGCAUAGCGAGGAGGUGGGGUAACGGCGCACCUAGGCGACGAUCCAUAGCUGGUCUGAGAGGAUGACCGGCCACACUGGGACUGAGACACGGCCCAGACUCCUACGGGAGGCAGCAGUAGGGAAGAUUGCACAAUGGGCGCAAGCCUGACGCAGCAAUGCCGCGUGUAUGAAGAAGGCCUUCGGGUCGUAAAGUACUUUCAUCGAGGAGGCGUUACUCGAAGAAGAAGCACCGGCUAACUCCGUGCCAGCAGCCGCGGUAAUAC